GCGAGUUAAAUCUCUCUAAGGAACUCGGCAAAUUAGCCCCGUAUCUUCGGUAUAAGGGGUGCCUUCUUCGGAAGGUCGCAGUUAAUAGCGUCAACCGACUGUUUAGCAAAAACACAGCUCUCUGCUAAGUCGCAAGACGACGUAUAGGGAGUGACACGUGACCAAUGCGAAAAGGUGAACAUCUGGGGUGCAAGCUCCGGGUCCAAGCCCUCGUGAAUGUCGGCCGUAACUAUAACGGUCCUAAGGUAGCGAAAUUCCUUGUCGGGUAAGUUCCGACCCGCACGAAUCGUGUAACGAGUUGACGACUGUCUCGGAGAGACGCUCGGUGAAAUUGUAGUGGCGGUGAAGAUGCCGCCUACCCGCAGCAGGACGGAAAGACCCUAUGCACCUUUACUGUAAGCUGUUAUUGUCGCUUGAUUUUCAUUGCGUAGAAUAGGUGGGAGACGUUGAUCCUUCACUCCAGGGUGAAGAGGAGUCACAAUGUGAAAUACCACUCUUUGUUGGUUAGGCGUCUAACCUUGAUCCGUUAUCCGGACAAGGGACAGUGAUAGCAGGUCAGUUUUACUGGGGCGGUAUCCUCCCAAAAAGUAACGGAGGAUUUCGAAGGUUCCCUCAGCCCGGUCGGUAAUCGGGCUUUAGAGCGCAUGAGUAUAAGGGAGCUUUACUGUGAGACCUACAAGUCGAGCAGUUGCGAAAGCAGGAUCAAGUGAUCCGGUGGUUGAAUGUGGAAUCGCCAUCGCUCAUAGGACAAAAGGUACGCUAGGGAUAACAGGCUGAUCGCGCCCAAGCGUUCACAGCGACGGCGCGGUUUGGC
rnacentral:rRNA from 1 species